ACCCCCUGGUGCGAGGGGAUCCGCGCGGCCGGCCGGCGCGAGCAGGACGCGGCACGGCCGGCGAUCCGGGUCCGGCGCCCGGUGGAGGUCC
rnacentral:tRNA from 1 species